rnacentral:rRNA from 1 species
UACGUAGGGGGCAAGCGUUGUCCGGAAUUAUUGGGCGUAAAGCGCGCGCAGGCGGCCUUGUAAGUCUGUUGUUUAAACCCGGAGCUCAACUUCGGGUCGCAAUGGAAACUGCAAAGCUUGAGUUACAGAAGAGGAAAAGUGGAAUUCCACGUGUAGCGGUGAAAUGCGUAGAGAUGUGGAGGAACACCAGUGGCGAAGGCGACUUUCUGGGCUGUAACUGACGCUGAGGCGCGAAAGCGUGGGGAGCAAACAGG